AUUGAACGCUGGCGGCAUGCCUUACACAUGCAAGUCGAACGGUAGAGGGGGCGACCCCUUGAGAGUGGCGAACGGGUGAGUAAAGCAUCGGAACGUGCCCAGUAGUGGGGGAUAGCCCGGCGAAAGCCGGAUUAAUACCGCAUACGACCUACGGGUGAAAGGGGGGGAUCGCAAGACCUCUCGCUAUUGGAGCGGCCGAUGUCAGAUUAGGUAGUGGGUGGGGUAAAGGCCUACCAAGCCGACGAUCUGUAGCUGGUCUGAGAGGACGACCAGCCACACUGGGACUGAGACACGGCCCAGACUCCUACGGGAGGCAGCAGUGGGGAAUUUUGGACAAUGGGCGCAAGCCUGAUCCAGCCAUGCCGCGUGCGGGAAGAAGGCCUUCGGGUUGUAAACCGCUUUUGUCAGGGAAGAAAUCCUUUGAGCUAAUACCUCGGGGGGAUGACGGUACCUGAAGAAUAAGCACCGGCUAACUACGUGCCAGCAGCCGCUGUAAGAC
rnacentral:rRNA from 1 species